AGUCGCCUCAGUGCAGCAGACUUAGACAAAUAUUGUCAGCACCACCCUUCCCAAAUUCAAUCGGAUUGGGGAUGUGCCAUGGGCGUUUCCACAACAAUGCCACCGCCAAAGCCCCAAGUUCGAACAAACAGCAUGCCAGAGACCGUAUACAGACCAUAUCGGUAUGAUGUCUCUGGUUUGUUGUUUAAUGCUGCACAAGCAAUAUUCCAGCUAUACGAUAUGUAAAGAAUCGAGUGUGGACCUGACAAUCCAGUGAUUGAUAUUAUGAGCAACGAUCAACGCCAUCGGGGUUGGAGGACACGCUAUCAAUCAAGUCACCGCAUCUGACUUCCCGAUCCAUUUGGUCGCCCCUUAAGACCACCAUGGGUUGCUGGGAACCUUUUCUAACCCGGAAUCCCCACGGGGUCCCACUCUGGUUAUAUAAAAAUGCACGAGUAGGGUGCGAACAGACCAAUGACUAUAAUCCGGGCAAUUCCGGGAUUCCAGCGGAUCCUGACUCAACUAAAGAUAUGCAACUCUGCAUGGACAGCGAACAAGGCAUCAAUCCGUGAACAUUCUUGUAAAAUGUCAUACAGUCAAUUUAUUUGGCUAUUAUAUUUUUAGGAUCUCAUCACAUGAAUUACCUUUAUUUCAAAAUAUUAUAUUAUUUUCUUUAUGAUUGUAUUCAGCCAAUACAAAGUGUGAUUAAUUUGAAUUAGCUAGUUUACAGAUUUGAAGCUUCUAAAUUAACUAUCAGUACGUAAUUGUCUUCUCAAAUACAUCGGGAUGGAAAUCACCAA